UACGGAGGGUGCAAGCGUUAUCCGGAUUCACUGGGUUUAAAGGGCGCGUAGGCGGCUUAUCAAGUCAGGCGUGAAAUUCCCGGGCUCAACCUGGGGGCUGCGCUUGAUACUGAUGAGCUUGAAUGCGGGAGAGGAUAGUGGAAUUCCCAGUGUAGAGGUGAAAUUCGUAGAUAUUGGGAAGAACACCGGUGGCGAAGGCGGCGCUCUGGACCGAGACUGACGCUGAGGCGCGAAAGCGUGGGGAGCAAACAGG
rnacentral:rRNA from 1 species